rnacentral:rRNA from 1 species
AGAAUCAACGCUGGCGGCGUGCCUAACACAUGCAAGUCGAACGAGAAAGUGGAGCAAUCCAUGAGUAAAGUGGCGACCGGGUGAGUAACACGUGACUAACCUACCUUCGAGUGGGGGAUAACCUCGGGAAACCGGGGCUAAUACCGCAUAAAAUCUUUGGAUCGGAAGAACUGGAGAUCAAUGGAGCAAUUCGCUUGAAGAGGGGGUCGCGGCUGAUUAGCUAGUUGGCGGGUAACGCCCACAAGGCUUUGAUCGGUA